CCCUUAGAUGUUCUGGGCCGCACGCGCGCUACACUGAUGCAUUCAACAAGCCUAGCCUUGACCGAGAGGUCCGGGUAAUCUGUGAAACUGCAUCGUGAUGGGGCUAGAUUAUUGCAAUUAUUAAUCUUCAACGAGGAAUGCCUAGUAAGCGUGAUUCAUCAAAUCGCGUUGAUUACGUCCCUGCCCUUUGUACACACCGCCCGUCGCUCCUACCGAUUGAAUGUGUUGGUGAGGAGCUCGGAUUGGCAGCAGUUGGUGGUUCGCCACCGGCUAUUGCUGAGAAGUCCUCCAAACCGCCCCAUUUAGAGGAAGGAGAAGUCGUAACA
rnacentral:rRNA from 1 species